UAGAGGAAGUAAAAGUCGUAACAAGGUUUCCGUAGGUGAACCUGCGGAAGGAUCAUUAUUGAAGUAAACCUGAUAAGCUGUUGCUGGUUCUCUAGGGAACAUGUGCACGUUUGUCAUCUUUAUAUCUCCACCUGUGCACCUUUUGUAGACCUGGAUAUCUCUCUGAGUGGCUAGCCACGCAGGUCUGAGGUUUGACUUGAUGUCUUUCCUUACAUUUCCAGGCCUAUGUUUCUUCAUAUACACCCCAAUGYAUGUCUUAGAAUGUAAUUAAUGGGCCUUUGUGCCUUUAAAAUUAUACAACUUUCAGCAACGGAUCUCUUGGCUCUCGCAUCGAUGAAGAACGCAGCGAAAUGCGAUAAGUAAUGUGAAUUGCAGAAUUCAGUGAAUCAUCGAAUCUUUGAACGCACCUUGCGCUCCUUGGUAUUCCGAGGAGCAUGCCUGUUUGAGUGUCAUUAAUAUAUCAACCUCUUCAGCUUUUUUUGGUUUGAUGAGUGUUGGAUGUGGGGGCUCUGUUUUGCUGGUCUUCUUAUCUGAAGGUCAGCUCCCCUGAAAUGCAUUAGCAGAACAAUUUAGUGGAUCGUUCAUUGGUGUGAUAAUUAUCUACGCUAUUAACGUGAAGCAAGUUCGGCUUCUAACAGUCCAUUGACUUGGACAAUUUUUUCAUUAAUGUGACCUCAAAUCAGGUAGGACUACCCGCUGAACUUA
rnacentral:rRNA from 1 species